AUCCUUCAAUAGGUAGCAUUUCCCAAGAUGCCUUGCGGGCCGGCCGGCAGAAAAACUUAAAAACAAUGGCGGACAGUGAAGCGGGAGCUGUCAGAGAGGAUUGCGCAUAUAAAUGUAAGUAUAAACUUGAAAACUGUCAGUUUAAGGACUUUUUGUGAUACAUGAACGUUAUUUUAGUGAGAAAUGUUACAGUAAAAGUGCUUGUAUUGCGGUCUCGGCUCGUAUGUUCGGCCGCGCUCGGUGUCGUACUUCUCCCGCUACGUUUCCCCCUGAUUUUAAUAGAAGUUUGUAUUUUAGGACCAAAAGAGAAAACCAGGGAAUUUAUUAAGCUUAGGGUGGAGAUGGACCACAUGAUCACCGGAGCAAAGUAUUUGGCGGCUGUGGCAUGGAGACUAUUCUGGAGAAAAUGGGCAUCCAGGGGAAGGUGCCAGCGAUGAGCUUCUGGAGCUGAUCUGGGAGGAAUUGAGGCUGCAGAGGGAGGCAGAGCAGCAGAGAGCACAGGAGAGAAGGAAGAACUUUGACAGCUUUUUACUUUGCUAGAAAAAAUGGUUAAGGAAGAUUAAACAUGUACAUGUAAAAGAAAUAUCUAAAUAAAAUCAGUUCUGCAUUAAACUCUUGAAUUUUAUUUUUGUUUACAAAUGAGAAUUGUUUACUAGAGGGUAUCCGCUGGGUCUUGAAAAGUCUUAAAAGGUGAUAAAUCGGUUUUGGUCAAAUUAAGACCCUUAGAAAGUAUUAAAAACUAUUAUCACAUCUUUGCUCAGGCUCAGCUAGUCUAAAGUAUUUUCUCUGAAUUAGCUCUCCAACAGUCAAGGAAAUGAUUAACCCCCAGAGACCCACGGUUGUAAUAUUACAACAUCAGAUUUAA